rnacentral:rRNA from 1 species
GACAGGUUAGUUUUACCCUACUGAUGAAGUUGUUGUCGUACCAGUAGUUCAGGUUAGUACGAGAGGAACCUUUGGACCGCAUCAUUGGUAACGCGGUUGUCUGAAAAGUCAAUGCCGCAAAGCUAUCAUGCGUUCGUUCAGGGCUGAACGCCUCUAAGUCCGAAACGAUGCUGAAGGCGAUGAUAUUACAUGCUUGAUUAGUUAC